rnacentral:rRNA from 1 species
GAUGAACGCUGGCGGCGUGCCUAAUACAUGCAAGUCGAGCGAACAGACGAGGAGCUUGCUCCUCUGACGUUAGCGGCGGGCGGGUGAGUAACACGUGGAUAACCUACCUAUAAGACUGGGAUAACUUCGGGAAACCGGAGCUAAUACCGGAUAAUAUAUUGAACCGCAUGGUUCAAUAGUGAAAGACGGUUUUGCUGUCACUUAUAGAUGGAUCCGCGCCGCAUUAGCUAGUUGGUAAGGUAACGGCUUACCAAGGCAACGAUGCGUAGCCGACCUGAGAGGGUGAUCGGCCCCCCUAGAACUGAGCCACGGUCCAGACUCCUACGGGAGGCAGCAGUAGGGAAUCUUCCGCAAUGGGCGAAAGCCUGACGGAGCAACGCCGCGUGAGUGAUGAAGGUCUUCGGAUCGUAAAACUCUGUUAUUAGGGAAGAACAAAUGUGUAAGUAACUAUGCACGUCUUGACGGUACCUAAUCAGAAAGCCACGGCUAACUACGUG